CACUGUUCCUGUAAGUCAAAUGACUCUUGGAUCAUUUUUUAUUACAGAGUCGGAGAGAGAGCAAGCAGCUCAAAGCUGGGAGAAACGAGUGCAGAAAGACAUGAGCGAGGGGCGUGGGGCAUAGUUCGGUUGGUAGCGUACAUGACAUCCUAGGUCCGGUCUGUAGCUCCUCAUAUUUUGGGUGUGAGUAUGGUGGUGCACGCUUAGGACCCUGGCUCUGGGGCCAUAGAGGCAGGAGGCUCACAAGUGUGAGGUUAUCCUUGGCUACACAGUACGUUUUGAGCUCCUGUCUCAGAGUGGGUGGCGGGCAUGAGUAAUGACGGAAGGCAGAGGAGAAGGGAUGAGAAAGAGUAGAGGGGAGGGAGAGCUGUGAUGGAUAAGGAGAGGGCAAACAUUGCUUCAGAGCAGGCUCCGCUUCUCGGCCAUGUUCCGACUGCUCUGCUAACUUCAGGCAAGCCUCCCAGGGAGAAAUACCUGGAAGAUCUCAAUCUACUUAAGAUCUACUAGGUCAGCAUGGUGAGUCUUCCUUUGGCCUUAGGGUGGGGCAGAGCUGGACUGGCACUGUCACCAAUCCUUUGUCUGUCUAAAGCUUUGAAAUCUUUUUCUUUAUGGAUUCCCUAGUGUUGUUCUUGGUUUUCAUUGUUGGCUUAGUAAUAUGUAAUAUUAUCUUUUAAAUACACCUAUUUCAAAAUUCAUCCCUUCAUAUUUUCACACAUAUAAUUGUCAUGAACAUGCAAUGCCAGAAACAUAGACAAAUACAUUUGUGUCUUUCUAAAAUGUCAGAAUUUACAAAUAAAGAUAAAUGUACAAGGUUUAGCAGUUUCAAUAAGAGAAAUUUGUCAUAUAAUCUGAAUAUCUUGGUAGCCUGGCUGAGGCAAACACAGUAUCUUAGUCCACUCUUAAUUACUAAUAUUUGUUUUGGUUUUUGUCUUGUUUUGUUUUGCCUUUAAGACAGGGACUCUCUAUAUAGCCCUAAGUAUCCUAGAACCUACUAUGCAGACCAGGCUGGCCUCCAUUAAUUAUUAAUCUCAACUUUCUUAUGGCAUAGCACAGAGUAAGUAUCUAUCUAUGUGCAUAUGAGUGGUUUGCAGAAUGGAUACAAGCUAAAGAGACCGGACAGAGUUCAAAAGGUUUCAGAUGCAGGCGAAUAAUCUGAACAGAUAAGAUAAUGAACCAGUGUCAGGAGGUAGCUGCAUUGGAAGCUACUAGAGUCAGGUUUGAGAGCUGUGAGCCAGAAGCCCUAACCAAGAUCUGAGAGCAGGAAAUGGAUCAAGUCCAGACUGGUGAACAGGUGGAUGGACAAGGGGUUACGUAUUCACAUCCACAGCAGAGGAUCCAAUGGAUCCAAGGACGGCCGGGGGAGUCCACUGCCUGUCAGUCCUUGACACAAAUGCCGGGUCUCUGGUGACAGGUUAGCGUGGUGCCAUGCCAUCACCGGGUUAGGCGCCCAUCACUUUGGGGGUCUAGGGGAGGGAGUUAUACUCUUCUCUUGGCCUGGCGUGUCUGAUAAAUUCUUGGGCAUGGUUCCAUGGAUCUGCCCCUGCAGUUUUAAUUUUCAUUCCCAUGGCUACCUUUCUAUUCCCAGGAAUAAUUCAUUUAUCAGUCUGUCCUGGGGAGGAAUGGGUGGUACCCUUCAGAGGGUGUCGGUUCCUGAUCCCACGGGGGCGGGGCUGAAGUCAUCCUCCCUCAAAGUGAAGUAAAUAAAAGCUGAUUAUAAAAUAGAGUCUUCUACGGUAAGGCUCAGCCUGGGAAACACUUGGAGGGACAUAGCCCCAUCAUGAUAUGACGUGCGGUAGCCAUGCUUCCCCCAGACACAUCACAACGUAAUCUAUUAUUAAUAAUAUUCUCCCCCUGCUAUCCUCUCUCAUCCCUGCUGUUGCUUAUGAUUCCCUGCAAGCAUCCCACUUUAACACUGUUACUUUUUGUGUGGUGAUCUGUACACAUCUGUGCGCCUGAGUGUGGAGGCCAGAUGUCAGUCCUGGCGCCUUUCCUCAGGAGACGGACGGCCACUUCAUGUUUUGAAGCAGAGGUUUUCCCGGAGGCCUGGGACUCCAAGCUCCAUCCGAUGUGGACCAUCCUGCAACACAACAUCUGGGUAUAAACUACAACUUGAACCUGACAAGUUUCUACCUGGAGCAACGUAAGAGGACUCAGGAAAGGCGUGUUUUUGCGUGUUAACUGAUCUGUCCAUGUGGGAAGGGCGAUACAGCCCUGAGCUCUGCCAGAGACGACAGAGACAUGUUCGGAUGGAAACGUUCAGGUGGGAAAAAGCUAGUGACAGAGCUGAGGACAAUCUGGCCUGUGUCACCUUCAAAGGUUCACACAACGGUGUGUUAGCACUGCAAAUGUGAGUGACAAUGGCCUGGCUCUAGGAGCUUGGAAGAUUUGUAUUUAAUUAUCUUGUUGCCAUUUGUUGAAGGAGAGCAGCAUGCAGGCAUUUGCUCUCGCAGUCUUUGCUGUGGAUGUGCGUGAAGCGUGCGUCUGUGCUGGAGCACCUCUGUGCACACAGAGGCCAGGAGUGGACUCCACUACAGCUCUCCACCUUAUCAUUUGAGACCUGAACACAGAGCUCACCCAUUGGCUAGACGGCCUGGUGGGAGGGCUCUGUGGAUCCGUCUGUCUCCACCUACCUCCUGAUGGUAGGGUUACAGACAUGUUAUACGCACGACGGGGAUCUGGACUCAGGUCGUCAGGCCUGUGCAGCAAGCACUUCACCUAUCCAAGCAUCCACCCAGACCCAUGCCAUCUUUUUAAUCCCUGUAGUAACCAUUAGCAGGAGAUGUUGUAUCCUCAUUUUCCACACGAGGGACCUGAAGCUUACAAAGGGGAUCCUCCCCACCCCAGGCAAGUCAAGCAACUUGCUAAAGGUUAUGUGGGACCAUACUUUAAGCCCAGUCUGUCUGAUCCCAAAGUUACUUGGUACCAGCAGUCAGUAAGGGAUAGCCCAUAAGACAAAUCAACUAUGUGCUUCACAUUUUUAAAUUGUUGAAAAGUAAAAAAGAGGAAAACCAGUUUGUGCCUUGUGGAAAUUACAUGAAAAACCAAAUUUCAGUGUCCUUACUGUGGGUUUUUUAAAUUUUGUUUGUUGUUGUGUGUUUUUGAGACAGUCCCAUAUAUCCCAGGCCAGCCUUGAACUGUCUAUGUAGCCAAGGAUGGCUGAACUCCUGGUUUACCUGGACUCCUGGCCCUGAGUGCUGAAAUUACAGUACUGUACCACCAGACCCAGUUCAUGUGGUGCUGGGAUUGAAUCCAGUACCACACAUCACGCAUGUUAGGCAAGUACUAUCCCAAUGGAGCUACAUCCCUGGCGACACGAAUAAAGUUUUAUUGGCACGUAGCCCAUCUGUACUGUCUGUAGCUGCUUUCAUACUAUAUGAGAAGUUGCUAAAGAGACCAAGUGAUCAGUUAGCCUAGUGUAUUUACUACCCGGUCCCUUACAAUAAAGUUUUAUUGGCACGUAGCCCAUCUGUACUGUCUGUAGCUGCUUUCAUACUAUAUGAGAAGUUGCUAAAGAGACCAAGUGAUCAGUUAGCCUAGUGUAUUUACUACCCGGUCCCUUACAAUAAAGUUUUAUUGGCACGUAGCCCAUCUGUACUGUCUGUAGCUGCUUUCAUACUAUAUGAGAAGUUGCUAAAGAGACCAAGUGAUCAGUUAGCCUAGUGUAUUUACUACCCGGUCCCUUACAAUAAAGUUUUAUUGGCACGUA